rnacentral:misc_RNA from 1 species
GAUGAAGAACUUAGUGAAAUGCGAUAAGUAGUGUGAAUUGCAGAAUUCAGUGAAUCAUCGAAUCUUUGAACGCACAUUGCGCCCUUUGGUAUUCCAAAGGGCAUGCCUGUUCGAGCGUCAUUUGUACCCUCAAGCUUUGCUUGGUGUUGGGCGUCUUGUCUCUAGCUUUGCUGGAGACUCGCCUUAAAGUAAUUGGCAGCCGGCCUACUGGUUUCGGAGCGCAGCACAAGUCGCACUCUCUAUCAGCAAAGGUCUAGCAUCCAUUAAGCCUUUUUUUCAACUUUUGACCUCGGAUCAGGUAGGGAUACCCGCUGAACUUAAGCAUAUCAAUAAGCGGAGGA